CAGACAUAGAAAGUGAGACUGGGGAGAGAGAUAGUGUAAAAGAGAGAGAGAGAGACCAUAAGAGAAGGGAGACAAAGAGAUAAAAGGCGCGAGUCAGCAGUCUACAGGUAUAUCCAGCAGCUCCAGAGAGACAGCGACCAGCGAGAAGGGGCCAUGAUGAUGAUGGUGGUUUUGUCCAAACGAAAAGGGAGAUAUGUAGGGAAAAGAAAGAGAGAUCAGACUGUUACUGUGUCUACAUAGAAAGUGAAGACAUAAGAGACUCCAUUUUGAAAAAGACCUGUACUUUAAACAAUUGCUUUGCUGAGAUGUUGUUAAUCUGUAGCUUUGCUGCAGCCACUUUGCCCCAACCACUUCGACCCAACCUGGAGCUCACAAAAACAUGUGUUGUAUGAAAUCAAGGUUUAAGGGAUGUAGGGCUGUGCAGGACGUGCGUUGUUAACAAAAUGUUUGCAAGCAGUUUAUUUAGUAAAAGUCAUCGCCAUUCUCUAGUCUCAAUAAACCCGGGGCACAGUGCACUGUGGAAAGCCACAGGGACCUCUGCCCUUGAAAGCUGGGUAUUGUCCAAGGUUUCUCCCAAUGUGAUAGUCUGAAAUAGGGCCUCGUGGGAUGAGAAAGACCUGACCAUCCUCCAGCCCAACACCCAUAAAGGGUCUGUGCUGAGGUGGAUUAGUCAAAGAGGAAAGCCUCUUGCAGUUGAGAAAGACGAAGACCACUGUCUCCUGCCUGCCCCUGGGAACUGAAUGUCUCUAUAUAACACCCAAAAGUACAUUUGUUCAAUUCUGAGAUGGGAGAAACUGCCCUAUGGUGGGAGGCGAGACAUGUUUACGGCAAUGCUGCCUUGUUAUUCUUUACUCCACUGAGAUGUCUGGGUGGAGAGAAACAUAAAUCUGGCUUACGUGCAUGUCCAGUCACAGUACCUUCCCUUGAACUUCAUUAUGACAUAGAUUCUGUUGCUCACAUAUUUGUUGCUGACCUUCUCCUUAUUAUCACCCUGCCCUCCUACUACAUUCCCUUUUGCUGAAAUAAUGAAGAUAAUAAUCAAUAAAAACUGAGGGAACUCAGAGACGGGUCCCAGUGCAGGUCCUUGGUAUGCUGAGCGCCGGUUCCCUGGGCUCACUGUUGUUUCUCUAUACUUUGUCUCUGUGUCUUAUUUCUUUUCUGUCUCUCAUCCCACCUGACUAGAAAUACCCACAGGUGUGGACGGGCAGGC
rnacentral:lncRNA from 1 species